GAACGCUGGCGGCAUGCCUUACACAUGCAAGUCGAACGGCAGCACGGGUGCUUGCACCUGGUGGCGAGUGGCGAACGGGUGAGUAAUACAUCGGAACGUACCUUAUCGUGGGGGAUAACGCAGCGAAAGCUGUGCUAAUACCGCAUACGCCCUGAGGGGGAAAGCGGGGGAUCGAAAGACCUCGCGCGAUUAGAGCGGCCGAUGCCUGAUUAGCUUGUUGGUGGGGUAAAAGCCCACCAAGGCGACGAUCAGUAGCUGGUCUGAGAGGACGAUCAGCCACACUGGGACUGAGACACGGCCCAGACUCCUACGGGAGGCAGCAGUGGGGAAUUUUGGACAAUGGGGGCAACCCUGAUCCAGCCAUGCCGCGUGAGUGAAGAAGGCCUUCGGGUUGUAAAGCUCUUUCGGCCGGGAAGAAAUCGCAUGGGUUAAUACCCUGUGCGGAUGACGGUACCGGCAUAAGAAGCACCGGCUAACUACGUG
rnacentral:rRNA from 1 species